GUGCUCGCUUCGGCAGCACAUAUACUAAAAUUGGAAUGAUACAGAGAAGAUUAGCAUGGGCCCUGCACAAGGAUGAAAUGCAAAUUCGUGGACCGUUCCAUAUUUUU
rnacentral:snRNA from 1 species